UGCGGAGGUGCGGUCGACGGGAACGAGGCCAGGGGAGGACCCCGCCGCGUCCUCGGGCUCCCCCGAAUCGGCGUCCGCUGCGUCCGCGAAGGAGGUCCCCCGAGAAGGCGAGGAGGUCACGAGGCGGCGCGCGACACGGCUCUCCCGCAGAAUCCUCUCGAGGAGGAACCUGGUGGUGGCCGCGUCGGCGCCGUAGAGAGGGGAGGGGUCGGCGGUGGCGGGUGAAGUCUCCGAGCCGCUAGCCGCGGAGGUGCGGUCGACGGGAACGAGGCCAGGGGAGGACCCCGCCGCGUCCUCGGGCUCCCCCGACUCGGCGUCCGCUGCGUCCGCGAAGGAGGUCCCCCGAGAAGGCGAGGAGGUCACGAGGCGGCGCGCGACGCCGCUCUCCCGCAGGAUCNN
rnacentral:lncRNA from 1 species